GACGAACGCUGGCGGCGUGGAUUAGGCAUGCAAGUCGAACGGUAGGAUACCUUCGGGUAUCUGAGAGUGGCGAACGGGUGAGUAACACGUAGGUGAUCUACCCUCAAGAUUGGGACAACCCAGGGAAACUUGGGCUAAUACCGGAUGAAAGCAGCAGUGAUGUUGUUUGAAAGGUGGCGUAAGCUGCCGUUUGGGGAUGAGCCUGCGCUCUAUUAGUUAGUUGGCGGGGUAAAGGCCCACCAAGGCGAUGAUAGAUAGGCGGCCUUAACGGGUGGUCGCCCACACUGGGAUUGAGAUACGGCCCAGACUCCUACGGGAGGCAGCAGUCGAGAAUAGUCUACAAUGGCCGAAAGGCUGAUAGUGCGACGCCGCGUGAACGAAGAAGCCCUUGGGGUGUAAAGUUCUUUUAUAUGUGAGCAGUGCUUUCUAUGUGAACAGCAUGGGGAAGAGAUAUAGCAUAUGAAUAAGCAAACGGCUAAACUCCGUGCCAGCAAGCCC
rnacentral:rRNA from 1 species